rnacentral:rRNA from 1 species
CAGCCGCCGCGGGAAUACAGAGGGUGCGAGCGUUAAUCGGAUUUACUGGGCGUAAAGCGUGCGUAGGCGGCUAAUUGAGUCGGAUGUGAAAUCCCCGAGCUUAACUUGGGAAUUGCAUUCGAUACUGGUUAGCUAGAGUGUGGGAGAGGAUGGUAGAAUUCCAGGUGUAGCGGUGAAAUGCGUAGAGAUCUGGAGGAAUACCGAUGGCGAAGGCAGCCAUCUGGCCUAACACUGACGCUGAGGUACGAAAGCAUGGGGAGCAAAAAGGAUUAGAUACCCGAGUAGUCCCUGUCUCUUAUAC